rnacentral:rRNA from 1 species
AACGAACGCUGGCGGCAUGCUUAACACAUGCAAGUUGAACGCAGGAUAGGACUUCGGUUCUAUUGCUGAGUAGCAAACGGGUGAGUAACGCGUGGGAAUCUACCUUUUUGGGGGGGAUAACUGAGGGAAACUUCAGCUAAUACCGCAUAAGCUCUACGGAGGAAAGGCUUCGGCCGCAAGAAGAGGAGCCCGCGUCAGAUUAGGUAGUUGGUAGGGUAAAAGCCUACCAAGCCAAUGAUCUGUAGCUGGUCUGAGAGGAUGAUCAGCCACACUGGGACUGAGACACGGCCCAGACUCCUACGGGAGGCAGCAGUGGGGAAUAUUGGACAAUGGGGGAAACCCUGAUCCAGCAAUGCCGCGUGAAUGAAGAAGGCCUUAGGGUUGUAAAGUUCUUUCACCUGUGAAGAUUAUGACGGUAGCAGGAGAAGAAGCCCCGGCUAACUCCGUGCCAGCCGCCGCAGUAA